rnacentral:rRNA from 1 species
AGUCACUGACAUUAGAUACCCGGGUAGUCCCAGCCGUAAACGAUGCGCGUUAGGUGUAUCGACGACCGCGAGUCGUCGAGGUGCCGAAGGGAAACCGUGAAACGUGCCGCCUGGGAAGUACGGUCGCAAGGCUGAAACUUAAAGGAAUUGGCGGGGGAGCACCGCAACGGGAGGAGCGUGCGGUUUAAUUGGAUUCAACACCGUAAAACUCACCAGGGAAGACUGUUACAUGAAGGCCGAGAUGAAGACUCUGCUAGAUUUUCAG